UGAUGCAGGGGGCGUGGCUGGGGCCCGCUGGCAGCGGUGGGCUGAACCGGGGCCACCACUGGCCUCCCUAAUCUACUGUUGGAAUUACUUUUAAUUCCAAGGGGUAGGGCUGGCCCCUUGGAUAAUCCUUCAGAUACAACUUCUCUCUGAUUGGUUAACUUUCUUUCCGCUGUGAGGACUGGGCCAUGCACACAGAUACCAAUUGCCAUAUUGGGAAGAAAAGGCACAGUUCUACAGAGCAACUCCUCCCCCUUGCUGCUUGCUUUCCUGUUUCCAGAUAGACACAGCUCCUGUAGUUGGAAGCCCAGUGGCUGGAAUGCAAGACUACGGAUCUCAAGGUAGCUUACAAGUACAACUAAAAGCACUUUAAAAUACAACGAAGACAGUACAGAGAAAUACAAAUUCCAGCUUGGACGGAGUUGCAGGAGCUGAAGACUUCUCAAGACAGUUGGUGCCCGUGUGUUGAUCAGAGUUCACCACUUUAGUCACUCGGGAUGCGCCUACAUGGCCACCGUGCCAAAUGAAAGAUAAUUUCUUGAGGGAAGCGAUACCUCACUGUAGUCACAACAGACCCCAGCCAAAACGAGUGGAUGCUGUACUGCUCUGGUGGGAGCCCAAGAACCCUCAGGGCAGCAGAAAAGACGGCUAGAAACCGCUCUCUGGUCAGCAGCUCCUUGUUGCCAUACAUGAAGAGAGGCCCUUCACCUUGGGGCCUUACUGCUAAGUAGUCGUGGAGGGCCUGGACAGGGCAGAGCCAUUGAUCCCUUGAGAACCUGAGGUGAACAACAGACGUCUCCACUACAUUUCGGAGAAUGCUAACACCAUCAUCAGACAUCUCCAGGUCACUCAGAAGCAGAAGUGCUGUGUGUGGCACAGUAGAGUGCUCAGCAACCAUCUCUUUUGGACGCAGCGCUGCGAAGAAAGCCAGGUUGAAUACUGCCCGAAAUAAGACAUAUUCAUAGUUGUUGUUGUUGCACACACUUUCAAUGGUCCCCAUCAGGGAUCUCAGGGUCUCUAUGGUUAGUGGACGCCAGCUUUCCCUUUCAAUUCUUUGCCUCAGCACGCCGGCCACCAUACGAGCAGUGAGGAAGUCCUGAAAAGGAUUCUGGAAAUUGAACAUGUCAGAGAUAUGGGAAAGUGCUCCUAAGUACAUUGUUAUUUUGGGUGAAGAUAUGCCUGAGGAAUCCAUAGCCUCCACGAACCCUCUGAUCUGGUCAACUGGAAUUGGCCAGGAUGAAGGCAGUCCUCUUUCUUCACGGAAAGCAAUGAAGCGACGCAAGCCCCGGCUGUAGGCUUUCCAGAUUGUGGGAUGCCCUGUACGCUCCACUGUUCGCAAUACUCUCAGAGACCACAGGUGCCAGGCAUGUUGUCCAGGGGCAGGGUGGGCUUGACUUCUAGGAAGAGGCUCUCCUUGAAGGACACAGAACGAAAUUAAGACCCAUCAGCAACAGUUCAUAGGAAACACAAAAUAAAUUAUUAUACAACUUUGAAAGCC